UACGGGGGGGGCAAGCGUUGUUCGGAAUUACUGGGCGUAAAGGGCGCGUAGGCGGGAUGGCAAGUCGGUCGUGAAAUCCCUCGGCUCAACCGAGGAACGUCGAUCGAUACUGCUGUUCUUGAGGAUUGCAGAGGAGACUGGAAUUCCCGGUGUAGCGGUGAAAUGUGUAGAGAUCGGGAGGAACACCGGUGGCGAAGGCGGGUCUCUGGGCAACAACUGACGCUGAGGAGCGAAAGCGUGGGGAGCGAACAGG
rnacentral:rRNA from 1 species